rnacentral:rRNA from 1 species
UACGGAGGGUGCAAGCGUUAAUCGGAAUUACUGGGCGUAAAGCGCACGCAGGUGGCUGAGUCAGUCGAUUGUGAAAUCCCCGGGCUUAACCUGGGAACUGCAUUGGUGACUGCAGGGCUAGAGUGUGUCAGAGGGAGGUGGAAUUCCGCGUGUAGCAGUGAAAUGCGUAGAGAUGCGGAGGAACACCGAUGGCGAAGGCAGCCUCCUGGGAUAACACUGACGCUCAGGCACGAAAGCGUGGGGAGCAAACAGG